UACGUAGGUAGCGAGCGUUAAUCGGAAUUACUGGGCGUAAAGCGUGCGCAGGCGGUUAUGUAAGACAGAGGUGAAAUCCCCGGGCUCAACCUGGGAACUGCCUUUGUGACUGCAUGACUAGAGUACGGCAGCGGGGGAUGGAAUUCCGCGUGUAGCAGUGAAAUGCGUAGAUAUGCGGAGGAACACUGAUGGCGAAGGCAAUCCCCUGGGCCUGUACUGACGCUCAUGCACGAAAGCGUGGGGAGCAAAAAGG
rnacentral:rRNA from 1 species